AGUUCUGGGGGUCGUCCGAUCCUGCAGAGACCGUCCAGGCUGGACUUGAACUCCUUCCUCGGCUGAAGUGAUCCUCCUGCCUCAGCGUCCUGAAUAGGUAGGACUACAACUGUGAGUCACUUUACUCAACCAGAAAUGGUGAAUGAUAAAAAAUGUUUAUAGAUCAUUGCUUCUAAAAAGACUAUAUUAGACACACUGUGGUACCCAAAACCAAAUGCUAGCUACUUUUUAACUCAAAAAUAAUUAGUCAGCUAAUGAUCUAUAUUUUGCUUUACAGUUUAACUUGACGAGUAGAAAAAUGUCAAGGUAUAAGACAAUGCAAAAUGUAGGGACAAAGAAGAAAACUUCCCCUUUCACCCUCUGAAGGUUUGCUGAAAAUGAACUGAAAAAGGCAGAGCAACAGGAGAAAAGGCAUGCGUUUAUUUUAACGUGCAUACCAUGGGGAAUUGCAGAAGAGUAAUGGCCUAAUAACCCAGCAGGGUCCAGAUGCCUGUCUACCCUCUCUUCUUAGGGAAGGCGGGGAUGAGGUGUGUAGGAGUAAAUGACAAAAGUUCCUCUGAGCUCUGGGGGAGGUGUUGGGAAGGUGAGG
rnacentral:lncRNA from 10 species